rnacentral:hammerhead_ribozyme from 1 species
AUUCAGCUGAUGAGUUCCAAAUAGGACGAAACGCGCGUCCUGGAU